UGGGGAAUUUUGGACAAUGGGCGAAAGCCUGAUCCAGCAAUGCCGCGUGUGUGAAGAAGGCCUUCGGGUUGUAAAGCACUUUUGUCCGGAAAGAAAUCCUUGGCUCUAAUACAGUCGGGGGAUGACGGUACCGGAAGAAUAAGCACCGGCUAACUACGUGCCAGCAGCCGCGGUAAUACGUAGGGUGCAAGCGUUAAUCGGAAUUACUGGGCGUAAAGCGUGCGCAGGCGGUUUGCUAAGACCGAUGUGAAAUCCCCGGGCUCAACCUGGGAACUGCAUUGGUGACUGGCAGGCUAGAGUAUGGCAGAGGGGGGUAGAAUUCCACGUGUAGCAGUGAAAUGCGUAGAGAUGUGGAGGAAUACCGAUGGCGAAGGCAGCCCCCUGGCCAAGUACUGACGCUCAUGCACGAAAGCGUGGGGAGCAAACNGGAUUAAUACCCUGGUAGUCCACGCCCUAAACGAUGUCAACUAGUUGUUGGGGAUUCAUUUCCUUAGUAACGUAGCUAACGCGUGAAGUUGACCGCCUGGGGAGUACGGUCGCAAGAUUAAAACUCAAAUAAUUGACGGGGUCAUGCUGUUUCCU
rnacentral:rRNA from 1 species